GACGUAGGAAGCAAGCGUUGUCCGGAAUUAUUGGGCGUAAAGCGCGCGCAGGCGGUCCUUUAAGUCUGAUGUGAAAGCCCACGGCUCAACCGUGGAGGGUCAUUGGAAACUGGGGGACUUGAGUGCAGAAGAGGAAAGCGGAAUUCCACGUGUAGCGGUGAAAUGCGUAGAGAUGUGGAGGAACACCAGUGGCGAAGGCGGCUUUCUGGUCUGUAACUGACGCUGAGGCGCGAAAGCGUGGGGAGCAAACAGG
rnacentral:rRNA from 1 species